GAUGAACGCUGGCGGCGUGCCUAAUACAUGCCAGUCGAGCGAACAGACGAGGAGCUUGCUCCUCUGACGUUAGCGGCGGACGGGUGAGUAACACGUGGAUAACCUACCUAUAAGACUGGGAUAACUUCGGGAAACCGGAGCUAAUACCGGAUAAUAUAUUGAACCGCAUGGUUCAAUAGUGAAAGACGGUUUUGCUGUCACUUAUAGAUGGAUCCGCGCCGCAUUAGCUAGUUGGUAAGGUAACGGCUUACCAAGGCAACGAUGCGUAGCCGACCUGAGAGGGUGAUCGGCCACACUGGAACUGAGACACGGUCCAGACUCCUACGGGAGGCAGCAGUAGGGAAUCUUCCGCAAUGGGCGAAAGCCUGACGGAGCAACGCCGCGUGAGUGAUGAAGGUCUUCGGAUCGUAAAACUCUGUUAUUAGGGAAGAACAAAUGUGUAAGUAACUAUGCGCGUCUUGACAGUACCUAAUCAGAAAGCCACGGCUAACUACGUG
rnacentral:rRNA from 1 species